rnacentral:lncRNA from 1 species
GGCGACAAAAAGUAUGUUUCCAUUAGUAUUUUCCUUUCCUCAGUAUGAAAGUUACUAUUAGUUGAUAGUAGGCAAAAACAUACAGACAUAUCUCUAGUCCCACUAAGAGGUCAUUUGUAAACAGGACCUUUAACUUAAUCUUUUUCUCAGAUUUGAACCCCUCAAGUAGCAUGUUUUCAAAAAUUCGUACAGAACAUAGCGAUCCUUUUAAUUUUUCACGGGAUAUUUGUAAUUAAUGAACAUUGCACUACUUGAUGGAAUAUUCCAUAACUAUUUUGGCAGAAGCAUUAAGAUCUUACAGUAUCUGAAAUUAAAAUGUUAGUUGUGGGGCUCAAAAUCCAAAAAGCUACAGUUCAGUGUCCUGUUUUCGAAUGACCUAUACUUGAGAGGGUGUUGGUAAAUUCUUGCCUUGCUAGCAAGACAAAAUAGUACACACCAAACUCAUAGCUUACAUCUCGCAGCUUGCCUUUCUCCAUAUUGUAAUAUCUCAAGAAGUCCUGCACAGUUUUGAUACCAUGUCGUUGAAAAGUCUCGUGAAAUUUACCACCAUUCGAAAUGUGUUUAAGCCGCCAAACUUCGUCAUCCAAUGAAGGAGUAUGACGCUUUUGAGACGCUGAACAUAUUGAAACCAAUAGGCUCAGAUACCAAGAGUAAAGAAGAAAUUACAGCAGUAUGUGCUUCCGUUAAACAACAAUGCAGUAUCAGAAAUCAAAAUAUGUAGUCUCUUGUGCUCAAUGGAUUCUACAAUUGAACCAACCAUACCUAGCGCAGUUGGCUAAAGACUUGAUGGUUGGUACCCCGGAUCCCAAGUUGAAGCCUAAUUGCUUCACAUUUCUAGCUGAGUUCAUUUCAAAAAAAUAUAUAUAUACGAAGUAGAUAGCAUGCCAUCUUUCUCUCGAAAAAAAAAAAAAAAGUUUCUACAAUUGAAGAAAUUGUCUCCAUAUAAUUUAAUAUCAUUUAUUUAGAGUUUCGUGAAGGAAAUUCAGCUAAAAGUAUGGCAUAAGAAACAAGAGAGAUGAGAUCUAGAUUAAACAAAUUUUCAAUAUUCUCCAUUUUCUAAAUAUAUGUGCUGUGCUUCUAUUAGGUAUAGAGAGAUCUACAUAGUAUAAAGUAGCAAUUAAUUCCACAAUGUCCAGAUACUGUUGUACAAAGAAUAGUUUCAUAUGAAAAUCUUUUUAAUGUAAAUCAACAAUCACAAGGAGUCUAUCAACAAAUAGUACAUAACAAGUUUCUUUUGCUACCUUUUCAAAAAAGGUCUCUUAAAAUCAAUUAGACAAGGUAGCAUAAAAGAAAAAUAGACUGAUUUUUCACCGCCAAAUUGUAGCAUCGGACAAUAGCCCUUCAGUAAUCAAUACCAGCCUCUAUAUUACUACAUUGCAUUCUAAAGAAUACUAAGAGAUUAUCUUCACAUAAGAUAGAAUAGUUUUCAGAAAUCAAUAAGAAAUAAGGAUUUGCAAAAGGAUCAAGCUCUUAUUGUCAUGUUGGUGUUGAUUAUAUAUUUAUGUCUUUUCUUUGUUUUGUCCUGUGAGCAAGUUCUCAUCCAUGAGUCAGUCCCCAAAAUAAUAAAUAAAAUAGAGAUUUAAAUUGAGUGCCCUGUUGUACUCAAGAACAAGAAACAAUGGCCUGUACCUACGCCACUACAUCAGUCGUGGACCACUCAUCCCAUCUCCCUCCAACCAAUCCUUUUAUUUUUAAUCCCUAUUGUCGAUUCACCACCUUUGCUUGACUCAAAACUAACUUUUUGCAAAAUGUAAAUUGGUUGGUUGGGUUGGAAGUAUGAAAGGGAUCGAGCGAGGUAAGAUAGGCAGUCCACAACUAAUGUGGUGGUCCAGGUUCAGGCAAUAAUCACUCAGUCCUCACAAUCAGUGUUGAUCAAUCAUACUAAUGUCAAUAAACCAAUGAAUUGGAAAGCCAAAUAUAGAAACUUCAAAUUAAACUUACAUUCCACUCGGCAUUCCUUCACCCUGAAAGGUUCAGUUAUUCCUUCUAGAAUUCUUUCUCCAUUUGGCGCACUUUGAGCAUAUCUCACCCCAAGCCUAAAUGUUUUAGUUUUUCGAGAACUGGAAUUAUCUGUAAAAGCGAUAUUCCCAACAGAACCAAUCCCAUUAUUCAGCUUGAUAAAUCGUUCUCCUUUGAGUAAUUGUCCUUUGUUAUCUCGUGGAAGUGCUAUUCUUCUAUUAAACUCCUCCUCGCUCCAAGUCUCUCGAUCGUCAUUAUUGAAGUCACCAUUAAGGACAACAAUCUCAACUUUAAUUGAAGAAAGAGGACCAGAUGUGACAAUUACUUUUUUAUCAGUAUCAAAUAAAGCUAUUUCGACAUCACUCCCCGUCUCUCCUUCUAUUUUUCUGAAGGUAUGAAGAGAACGACAUAUCUUGUUCUGGAAUUUUAGAUGAUAUCUGGCAUGCUGAGCUCCACCAACUAGUUGUCUAUAAGAAGAACAUAGGAAACAAUUAAACAUAAUGUGCCAAACGGCAUAUGAAAGAAAAAAAAUAAUAAGAGUACAAUUAACAUCCAAUUGACAUUGACGAAAAAGUAAAAAAGUAUACUGAAGGAAAGCUUCAAAAUCAGUCCUGCCAGCGAAAUAGUCUACAACAAGAAAGAAAUAUAAACAUAUAGUCGAGAUUGACGAAGAAGUAGAAAAUUAUACCGAGGAAAAACUUCAAAUAAUAGCAUUUUGUCCACCCUAUGAUUUUGGUUUUUGUUUCCUGUAAGGAUUUGCCAUUAAAUAGGGUAGCAAAGUACAGCAUUUUACAGACUACAUCCCACAAUUUACACUUAAAGCCCUGUGGUUUGUAAAAGAAGCACUUUGCUGCCACAUGUAAACAGCAAGUCCCUACAGAAAACAGAAAUACAAAAUGCGAGUUAACAAGUACUACUCUUUGAACCACCGGAUAGUAAACUGCAAAUGUCCUAUACCUGAGGCGGUUGUUUUGAAGUUUCCCUUAUAUUUACAAGGCCAGCAAAAAUUAAGUAAAGCAAUUAACAGCUGCUUUAAAUGUGAAACUUGUUUCCCCUAUUAUGGUUGGAAAUUAUGCUAUACUUUCUCCAUACAUAAAACAAGAUAGAUUGCUAUUCACCAAAUAUUGUAUUAAUGAAGCAUUUGAAGAGCAGUAGCCAGCUUAGCAUACUAAAACGCAGUGAACUACGAAUUCAUAGCAACGAAAAGGUUAUUUUACAUAUCAAUAUGCAAGAAGAUAUAUUAUAUUCUAUAAUGAAAUCUCUGUAAUGAAAUCAACAGUCAGAAGCAGCAAUUAUUAAAGCAAAUACUAUGCCUGGGAAUUGGGUUUAUGUAGUUGUGAAGUCUCUUUUCCAGCUCUUGACAUACCUGUUACAGAAAAUAAUAUGACAAUUAAGUAUGUCUCUGACAAGUUACGAUAGUCGAGUUAUAUCAGUAGCUAAAGUUAUGAAGAUGAGCUAUAGCAAAGAGCCAUUUUUGGCGUUAUCCCAUAAAAUAUUUAGAAUCUUGAUAACAAGAUCAACCUUAAAUCGCCUAAGUAACUCAAAUGAAAUCACAGUGAACUAGCAUGAAGAUGCUCAUACCAAAGACCCUUUUUUUUAUGCUAACACAUACAAAUUUACAAUCGGGAUAACGAGAUAAAUCUAAAAGCACCUAAAUAACUCAACUACAGGGCUUCGACGUGAAAAUGAGUAGCAAAGAGCCAUUUUUAGGUGUUAUCUCAUAAAAAUUUAGAAUCUUGAUAGCAAGAUCAACCUUAAUCGCCUAGGUAACUCAAAUGAAAUCACAGUGAACCAGCGUGAAGAUGCUAUAUACCAAAGAGCCUUUUUUUAUGCUAACACAUACAAAUUUACAAUCUGGACAAUAAGAAAAAUCUUAAGGCACCUAAGUAACUCAACUACAGGGCAUCGACGUGAAUAAGAGCUAUAGCAAAGAGCCAUUUUUAGGUGUUUUUCCAUAAAAAUUUAGAAUCUUGAUAGUGAGAUCAGGUAUUCAAAUGAGAUCACAGGGAAUCGGCGUGAAGAUGCUAUACACCCUAGAGACAAUUUUUUGAUGUUAACACAUAAAAAUUUACAAUCUUGAUAACGAGAUAAGCCUUAAAGCACCUAACUCAACUGCAGGGCAUUGAUGUGAAAAUGAGCUAUAGUAAAGAGCCAUAUUUUAAUCUCAACCCAUUAAAAUUUAUAAUCUUGAUAACUAGAUCAACCUUAAAUCACCUACGUAACUCAAAUGAGAUCACAAAAAACCAGCAUGAAGAUGCUCUAUACCAAAGAGCCAUCUUUCGAUACUAACACAUACUAAUUUGCAAUCUUGAUAACGAGAUAAGCCUUAAAGCACCAAAGUAACUCGACUACAGGGCAUCGACGUGAAAAUGAGCUAUAGCAAAGAGACAUAUUUUGAUCUCAACCCAUUAAAAUUUAGAAUCUUGAUAACUAGAUCAACCUUAAAUCACCUACGUAACUCAAAAGGAAAUCACAGAGAACAGACGUGAAGUUGCUCUACAACAAAGAGCCAUUGUUCGACGCUAGCACAAAAGCAUAAAUCGCAAAGCACCUAAGCAACACAAAUGAAACCACAAGGCACUGGUGUGGAGAAGCGCUAAAUAAAAAAGCCGUUAUUUGAUCUCAACCCACAAAAAUUUACGAUCGAGAGAAUGCAAUCGAGCUCUUACCGCUCUCCGAACCAUCGAUUCGACCUUCUGUGAAAGGAACCGCCAAAACUCCUCUCCCAUCAUCAUCUCCCUGCGACCAACGAUAAGUGAGGAUUAAAGAAACAAACAAACAAAAAACUCGCAAUCAGCCUCAAGAAGGAGCUCCAGUGAAGAUCCGAAGCGAGUAAAAUCCUAACCCUAACCCUAAACCUAAUCGCACUCACAGGAUGAGACGCCGCCAGAGCUCCGAGGUUGGUGACGAGGGGGGCGAAGUGGGAGGUGUAGCCAUGGGGAAUGUGGAGGAAAAUGAGCUAUAAUGAGCUAUAUAUUUUUAGAGAGAGAGAGAGAGAGAGAGAAGAAAAAGAGAAAAUGGAGGGAAGGGAAGUUCCCGGGAAAUUUCGCACGGAAACAAGUCUUCGCCUUAAAAAAAAAAAAAAAAAAAGUAUGGAGAACCCUCAACUAUACUCGUAUUUGAAAUAGACCCUUCAAUUAUUCUUUUUUUUUUUAAUGCGGGGUAAACUUCAAAUACCACCCAUGUAGUUUCAUACUUUUUCACUUUAGUAUCAUGUGAUUUUAAAUUGUAUCAAUUUAGUACCCUGCGGUCUCAUUUUUCUCUCUUCGUCAGCGCUUUCGUUAACUUUUAGUUGAAUCAUAUACAAAAAACUUCAGAUGCCUCACCUAUAGUUUAUCGAAUAUCCGCUUUAGUAUCCUUUAUUAGUUUUAACUUUAUCACUGAUUUAACAAAAAAAAAAUUAAUAGAGGGGAUAACAAAAAGAAAAAUAAAACAACAAGGUACGAGAGUGAUACACUUUAAACCAUAGGAUACUAAAGUGAGAAAGUACGAAACCACAAGGUGGUAUUUUAAGUUUUUUUUUCUUUUUUUGCUUAGUUGUAACUUGUAGGUAGGAUUGUCAACCAUGAGCUAAAGUUGACUAAUAUUCGCCCAUUUACUAAACAAGUCAAACAAUGAGUGGGUCACUAAAAUAUCGAGCUAAAAAAUUCAACUCGUAUUCUAUUUGUUUAUCGAUGAGCCAAACACGAGCUAGUUUGCGAAUAGCAGAUUAGAUUGUCAGUCCUAUUGCCAGGCGUAAAAUUAAAAAAAAAAAAAAAAUUAAAAUAGAAAAUUUGAAUCUAACGAUUGAAAUUUUAUAAAAUAUAAGUCUCUUUAUAUUUGGGUUGACCUAAAAUCUAAAUAGUAAAAAUUUAAAAAAUAUAUAUAUUUAAGUUAUAUCAAGCCGAACAUAAGCGGGUUGACCCCAAAAAUUUGGAAAAUCUAUAUAUAUAAGUUAUAUCGAGCCAAACACGAGCAGGUUAACCCUAAAAAUUUGAAAUAUAUAUAUAUAUUCAAAUUAUAUCGAGCCGAACAUAAGCGAGUUGAUCCUAACUUGUGUCGGCUUGCUAACUAGAAAGUUCAACUCGUCUUCCACUCGCUCAUUUAAUAAAAAAGCCGAACACAAGCCGGUUAAAGCACCAAAGUAACACAAGCUGGUUACUCGUCUUUCACUUGCUCAUUUAUUUGGUUACUCAGCUUUUAAAAUUUUAUUUUACUAUCCAAUCAAUUAAUUUAUUCAAUUUAAGUAAAUCAACGGUAUUUUGACUUUGCCACUUGCUGCUCAAAACAGUUGCGCUUAACUGUUAUACGAUAUAUAUAGUGCAUUUUACUUUGCUUCUUUCAUGGUUCUAAAAAUUACAUCUAAACAUUCUGCGAUUGUAUUGCUUAUUUUGCUGUAAAAAUUUAUUGUUAAACAGGAUACCACCCCGUAAUUUUCAAGAUACUUUAUGUUAUUUCUCAUUUGACGACACAUCUUUUUUGUUAACAUAAAAUAAAACCACAAGAUUGUUAAGUGCAAUUCCGUGAGCCAAUUGGCGCGUGAGCCAAUUGACUACUUACAUAAUUAAAAAAAAAAAGUUUUUUCUUUUUUCCAAUUGGCGCGUGGAAAUUGGUGAGAGUGGUUAGAUGGAGGGCCCCACCUAGGGAUGUAAUGUGGGCCGUGCCGGGCUGGCACGGCCCACAUUUUUCGGGCCAAAUCGGGCCACUGGUCGGCCCGGCCCGACCCGGUUCUUAAUCCGGGCCGUGCCGUGCCGGCCCGUUUCCAUGAAGUAGAAGACCCGGCCCGGCCCCCGGGCCCGCCCAGCACGGGCCGUGCCGGGCCGGGCCGGGCUUCGUGCCAGCCUGCCAGGCUACCAGGCCCUUUCUUUUUUUCUCCUUUCCACAGUUUUUUUUUUCCAGAAUUUUUUUUUUCAGAAAAAAAUAUUUUUAAUACUUUUUUAUUAUUUAAGAGAAAUUGAAUUUCUAAAAAAAUAAUACAUUUUUAAAAUUUCAAAUUCAUAAAGUAAGAUAUUUAUAAAAAUCAUUAAAAUUUAAAUCUUUUGAGCAAAAUACCCUCCCAACAGUCAAAAUUUUGACUGUUGGGAAGGACAUUUUAGUCCAAGCCCAAAGAUCCUUGGGAAGACCCCAAGCAACAGCCCAUAAAGGCAUGCUACAGUGUAUGGCCCGGCAGGGCCACAACGGCCGGCCGUGCCGUGCGUGCCGGGGCCGGGUACCCCUCUCUGGCCCGCAGCGGCCAGGCCGUGUCGUGGCCGGCCGUGCCGGGCCAUCGGGCCGCGGGACCAAGGCCCAGCACGACCCGAUUCCAAUUGGUCGGACGGCCGGCACGGCACGCUACAGUACUCCGUGCCGUGCUGCCCGGACCACUCUCGUGCCGGGCCGGGCGGGGCGGGCCGCCGGCCCCGUUUGACACCCCUUAGCCCCACCCUGCUAUAACACGGGGGUCCCUAUCAUAAGAUUCUGGUCAAUUCGUGAGCCAAUUUGUCUUGUUAAAUUGACUAUACAAGUUACAGUAUAUAGAGUGCGGCUAGUAUACUUAUAGAAGUACGGAGGGUUUCGUGUUUCUAUUUUAUUUUCGAUGUUCGAUUUUUCGAAUCGACGAUCGGCCUCCGUUAGACUUGAUCUAGAGUAUUUGAAGUAUGUAGAAAAUAAAUUUUGUGAUUUUUCGAUAUCCACUUGCAUAGUGAUCGAAGUGGCUCAAAAUCAGCGGCUGAAAAAUAAAUCUAAAAUCAACAAAAUAAUGAUGAAUGACAUAAAAUUUUUAGAUCAAAGUAUUGAUCUUGUUUUACAUGGUAUAAAGAAGAUUUUGCUAUCAAAUUUCAUGUGAUUUGGAUAUUUCUACACCCCGUUAAACUUGUAACCGGCUCACACGAAGGCCGUUAAAAUUAUUGAUUUUGAGCCCCUGCGAUCACUAGGCAAAUGAUAUUCGAAAAAUCGCAAAAUUAUUUUCUAGGUACUUCAAAUACUCCUAGAUCAACUCUAACGGGAUCGACGAUUCGAAAAAAGUCAGAAUAUCGAAAACGAGCUUGAAAGCGACGGAGGCCUCCCGUGCUUCGCAUUACGUAACCAGCCACAACUCUAUAUUAUAUAUUAUAUACUAUAUAUACAUUAUAUAUAAUAAUAUAUUAUAUAUAUACUAAUAUAUUACUACCGUAUAUAUACGUAUGCUGAGUUAUUAUAUUUCUUAUGAAUAUUAACAUCUUGUACUAUAAAUUUUCGGCCGUUCUAGAUGAAGGGAUAUCCCGGUUACAAAUGAUAGUAGUCUCUGAUUAAGGACGAUAGUGACCCCUAGAGCUUCGUUUGGGUUCGGGGUUAAUAGUAAGACAUUAUUCCAGAAAUAGUAUACACAGUUCAGGUGUAACACCGGAAUACGGUGUAAUUUCUGCUCUUGGUAAAAAUUGAGCUGUUCGCGGAAAUAAAAUAAAAUAGUGUUGGAUAGGCUAAAAGGAAGAAGAAGAAUAGUGGGUAGUUAAAUAAAAAUAAUAAUAUCUGCUCUAAUUAUUAUAUUUAAACCAUAAAUUUUUUUAUUUUGUAUUUAAAAAUUUCAAAUUUAAAUAGAUAACUUUAAACUAGAAAAUUUUAAAAUUUAAAAUCUAAAUUUUUAAAUCACAAAUUUAAAAAUUUAAAGUUAUAAAUUUUAAAUUAAAUAUAAAUUUACAAAUAUAAAAUAUCAAAUUUAAAUUUUAAAUAAUUAAAAAUAACAAUUUUAAAAUUUAAAUUUUAAAUUUAAAUUUUUAAAUAUUAAUUUUAAGAUUAUAAAUUAUAAAUUUUUAAUUUUUAAAUUUAAAUUUAAAUAUUAAAUAGGGGUGUGAUUAGCUAAUUCCACCCUAUUCCAAGGGGGGUGGAGUUAGCUAACCCCACCCUUAACGGGUUAUCAAAUAACCCGUUAAAGGUGGGGUUCGCCCAAAAUAAGUUUUGGAGAUAAAAGGGGAUAACCCGUUAAUCCCCCCCAAGCCCAAACCAAAUGCUAUUCUAGAGUUGAGUGUAUGGUUGGUUGAAUAAUAUCAUCUAACGGAUGAAAAUAGUCAAAAGUUUAUGAAUAUAAAAGAUUUAUACUUAUAAGAGUAUAGUAGCCAGACACACACUCUCUCUCUCUCUCUCUCUCUAUAUAUAUAUAGUGUAAAUACUGAAUACAAAAAAAUUCAAUAAAACUUGUAAUUUACAAGAAUUAAGAAAUGAUGCAUAUUUUUUUUCAAGAAUUAUCAAACUUAUCUUCUUUAAAUUAUUGGUAAAAACAAAUAAAACUUAUCUCAACUACCACCUUUUUGGAUUUAAUAUUUUAAAAUUUUGAUUUUACCAUUUGAUCUUUUAUUUUUUUUUAUUUAAGCCAAUUAGUGAUUUUUUAAUUUCAAAUUUUGAAUGCAUCGUUUAUUUUUACGGAUUCUAUUAGCAUAUUUUAUAUUUAUUAAAAUAAAUAAUUAUAUUAAAUUUUUUAUCUAAAUAGUCAUCAAAUUACUUAAAUCUUAUAAAUUGAAAGGUUGAUUCAAAUCCAAAUUAUUUGCAGUUUCAGGCAAGCUUUAUAGAUUUUUACCUAAGGUCCUAUUUGAAUGUUAGAAUAAAUUAUCCGGAUAUAAUUUAUUUGGUAUGAGAAUUUUUUAAUAUGAUUGUAACUAAAGAAUUUGAUUUUUAUUUCUUUAAAGGUUCCUCUUGUUAUCGAUAAUUCGAUAGAAUAGUAUAUUUUGCUUACGAGAUAAUUUUUCUUAUUCCAAAAAAUAUAUAUUUAAAGGUCAGUUAUGAUAAUUCAUUUUAACUGAUAAUUCAUUUUAAACAUUUGUACACACUUCUCCACGUUCAAAAUAUAAAUCUCCUAAAUAAAUCAAAAAGAUAUACCAAAUAUGUUAUUCAUGCAUCUAAACACAAUCUUGAUAAAUAACUGAGAUGGCCCAAUCAUUGUGAUGUUAGGGGUUUUUGGGGUACAUUUUGGGGUAGGCUGUGCAUUAUUAUUAUUGUUGAUCUCUGCAAAUAUAUUAGUACUCCUUGAGGUGACACGUGGCAGUCAACGUGACCAAAAAAAGUUAUUUUUGGGCUUUUUUUUGGCCUUUUUCAUAAAAAAUCCACUUAUUUUGGGCUUUUGUAAAAUCGGGUCACCUUUUUCGUUUUUGCAGAUUCGGUCCGUUUUUUCAGCAAACUGACCAAAAUACCCUCAUUACUUUUUCUCUUUCCUCUUUCUCUCUCCUCUCUUCGUUCUCUCGUUCUUUUUUUUUUUCCGCCGAAAAAAAAAAGCGAAGGCCGGAGCACCGCUAGGCGGGCUCUUCUUCUUCUUCUUCCUGCAUGAGCAAUUUUUUUUCUCUUUUUCUUUUUCUUCUUCUUUUUCCUACUGCUGGAGCUUUUUUUUUUUCCCUCUUCUUCUUCUUCUUCUUCUUCUUCUUCUUCUUCUUUUUCUUCCUGUAAGAGCACGGAGCGCGCACGGCGACUUCCGGCCUCGCCACAGAGCCCGACCGCUCGACCCCGACGCCCCGCUCAAGCCGGGGAAGCUCUACUUCCUCGUCGACCUCCCCCGCGCCGACCCCGAGCCCGACCAUCGCCGCGAGGGCGCAACCGGCGCCGGCGCCGGCGCCACGCGUUUCCCGACUAUUGCCGAGCAAUGGCCCCGCUGUCGUGACUGAUGAAGCCCGCGGUCUCGGACCCCGAGUCCCGUCAACCGGGGGCUUGUAUUCCUCCCCGCGCCGCCCCGAGCCGACACCGCCGCGCGAUUCACAAUUACCCAGUUAUCGUGAAUACACCAUUAAUGGUUAAUAGUGCACAUUACACCUUUACGAAGGACCGGCCGAAGCCGACAGCGGAGCGCGCUGCGCAUGAGGAGCCGCCGGCUGUUGCGUUGCCGCCUCCUCCGCGGCGACGGCAGAUGCGAGCAGGGAGGCUUGGCGUUGCACCGGCACUCGAGUUCUAGCCGACCCCGGACCCCCCGCGCCUCGUCGACCCGACGCCCGCAGGCCGCGCGGAUGCACGGCCCUCCGUGCGUGCGCUGCACCCCGAGACUUCGCGGGUAGAGCUCGGCUUGGGGGGGCAGUACGCAGAACACGGCCACUCUGUUCACCGUCGUGGGAGACCUGCGCACUGUGUUGCGUGCUGGCCUUGGCAGGCAGAGCUUUAGCGCUGAUCUCCUAUACAUGGCGACGGCGACGCGCGAGGGUUCUCGGGGAGUGGUCUGACGGCCCGCAUUGCGGUCCCCGCGCUGCGCGGAGGCCGCGGCUACGCUGGCCGGGAAUUGGGGUUUUGUUGGACGCGCUUGGCGCGGAGUACGACGUGGGAGCGAGGCCGCGGAGAUGGUGAAUCCGGGAAGCUGGCGCGGCUUUGCGUCGCGGGGGAGCCCGAGUUUGAGGCGGGUCAUGCACGAGGUCAGUGCGGGCAUGGGAGGAGAAGGCGUGAAAGUCGAUCUCAGCCGUUCUUAGUGCCGAGAUCUCGAACGGCAGUGCGAUUGUAAUUUCCUUUUUUUUCGUGAUUUUCUAUUUUGUGUGUGCGUAUAUCGAAUACUAUGGAGUGUGAUUAGUCUCGAGUGAAAAGGAAACGGUGAAGAUAGAAAAUGAAAUGGGUUAUCCAGCUCUGCUUUGUUGAGAAAUAAAAAAUAGUCGUAUUGCGAGUUUUGUAUUUGAGUGCCGAGGCAUGUAGUUUGAUAAUUUGUUUCGAUGAUGAUUGAUGAUAGAUGAUGGAUGACGGACUGAGGAGGAGGAGGAUACGCUCGACGCCGACGCCGCGCGCACGGCCGCUCCCAUCGACCAUAUGCCCCUCAGCGAUUUCCGAUGUCCCUCCACGCGGCCCGCCGUGCCUCGUUCCUGCGCAGUGCACUUUCAGGCCCGCUAGCAGCGCGGACGAAUCUUCUGCCGUCGCGCGAGCGCGCCCGAGCCGCGCUCUGCCGCGGAGCUCGCGGCGGCGCCGCAGGCCGACGGCGGCCGGUUCGCACGCGAGCGCUGCGAGCGUCGGGCUGUCAAGCGGAGGCGGCCGAGGCGACGGUUCGAGGCUUGGCGAGCUCCCCUCCGAGACUCGGCGCCUGCACGCACGCCUCCUCCCUCCGUCAGCCGUCGCCGCGAAGGAGGGCGCACGUCGACCGCGGUCUCGCGCGGCGCUCGUAGUCUCGGGCUUGGCCGGGUUCUUUCGUAAUGGUGUAAUUGGUGCCCAUUACCACCAUUAAUUGUUGUAAAGGUGAAAUCGCGCCGCGGUGUCGGGCUCGGGUCAGGCACGGGGAGAAGUAAGAGUUCCCCGGCUUGGGGGUCGCGGCAUGUGCAGUCGGUGGUCAAGGGAUCGGGCUCGUAGGUCCGCACGCGGCGGCCUUCCUCGGAAACUAGUAGAAAUCGCGCGCGGCGCCCGGGCGCCGGUUGCGCCUCGCGCGGGCGAAAAAGCGAGACGGUGGCGGGCCCGAGUCGCGCCGGGGGGUUGAGGUGACGAAGACGGAGCUUCCCCGGCCUUAGCACGGCGGGCGUGCGGGCGACGCGGCGGGGAGCUGUGGGGAGGCCGGUCGCUGGGUGGCGCGUUGCUUUACAGAAAGAAAAAGCAAGAAGAAGAAGAAGAAGAGGGAAAAAAAUCCUCCGCAGUAGGCAGGAGUAAGAGAAGAAAGAAGAAAGAAAAAAAAAAAUUGUCACUGCAGAGAAGAGAAGAAGCAGCGCAUGGCGGCUGCUCCGGCGCUUCGCUUUUUUUUCGCGCGAAAAAAAAAAAGAACGAGAGAACGAAGAGGAGAGAGAAAGAGAAAAGAGAAAAAGUAAUAAGGGUAUUUUGGUCAGUUUGCUGAAAAAGCGGACCGAAUCUGCAAAAACGAAAAAGGUGACCCGAUUUUGCAAAAGCCCAAAAUAAGUGAAUUUUUUAUGCGAAAAGGCCUUUUUUUUUGUAUUUAGCCGCUUAAAAAAAAAUUUAUAAAUAGUUUUAUGAAAUUUAUAUUUGCAAUAUUUACGCUAUUUUUAUCAUGUAAGCGCUACGCGAACAUAGACGGCGAUAUAGGUUAAGUUGAACACGGUGAAUCAUUUAUCGUAUUUGGACACGAUGAACCACAUGGUGAAUGGUUCACUGUAAUCCACACGAGCGUCAUGCGAUCAUGGAUAGCGGUAUGUAUUAAGUUGAACACGGUGAAUUAUUUAUCGUAUUUGGACACAGUGAAACAUAUGGUGAAUGAUUCACUGUAUUCCAUUAUUUUUCUAUCAUAGUAUUAUAUAAUAUUUGAAAUUUUGAAUUUAGGAAGGAUACGGUGUAAUUUACCGUAUCCAAACACUGUUAAUGAUUCAUUAUAUUCAACUUAAACUGCUAUCACGUUCACGUGACGCUCGCAAGAUAGAGAUAAAGCAAAUUUUAUAAAUAUAAAUUUUAUGGAGGUACUUAUGAAAAGCAAAUUUCUGAGCGGGCUAAAAGAUUACUUUUUCGCCCAGCGGUAGUUUCAGUUUUUUAUGAAUAAAAUUAUUUAUUGUAUUCCACUUUUUUUUUUAUUCAUUUUUUUCCGUACAAACUAAAUAAAUAUAACUGAAAAUUUAUUUUUCUUUUUUCAACAAACCGCUAAGGAGCGUAAAAUUUUUUUCCUCCAAACUUUUUUUAUCAAAAAUAAGUUUUUAUAAUUUUACAUAGAACCAAACAGCCUCUUACGUAAAAUUUAAAGUGUCAACUGCUUGAUCAUCAAACUUUACUUUAAUAUAAUUUUUAGCUUAAUUUUUUUUAAAUUAUUACAAUUAAUUUUUUACAAUUUAAUUUAGUUGACUAAUUAAGGAUGUGUCAUUAAUGUGAAAGUAAUGUAACAACGUACAAAAUCCAACAAAAGAGGUUCAACCCACUAUGAGAGAAGCUAAAGAAUAACAGAUGUUGGACCACCAAAGAAGAACUAGCAAUGCUAAUGGUACGGAUACCCAAAAUUUUAUCCAAAUUCAGAUCCGAACGGAGCAGACUUACCCAAUGCUAAACAGAUAUAAUUCACAUACGAAUAUAAAAAAAUAAAAAUCUAACGGAUUUAGAUUCGGGUAUGAAUUUUGACUGUACCAGAUCCAAACCGAACCCGAAUCUGAACCCAAUCCGUAUUUAAAAUUUUAGAUUUCAUGUAAUACGUUUCAAAAUAUUAUAAAGAGAAAUAAUUAUUUCAGAUUCGGAUUUUCAGGUUCGGGUAUGGAUUUUGGAUUUUUAAUCGGUAGAUAUAUAAAUUUUUUAAAAUCCACCGAAUUUGGGUUAGGGUAAAAGUUUCGGAUUUCGUAGUCAGGUUCGGUUUGGGUUUGCGUUUCGAAAACCCGCUGAGAAACAAAACCGAAAGACGGCGGGCCUCCCUUCUCUUUUUAGGCCCAAAAGGAAUUUGCUCUUAAUAUAGUAGAAGAAAAAAAAAAUUUAGUGAGCUUCUAAACGAUGCCUCGUUAAGGAGAGUCAUUUUGUCACCAUAUAUAAUUUUUAUCUCUAUCAAACGGUUGUAAUUUUUCCCUCUAUGGUUUAAAUAUUUUUCUUAAAUUUUAAUAUUAAAAAAAAAAAACCCAAUGGACUAUUAAAUGGAGACAAAAGUAAUACGUGACAGACUGAGAGUACAUUGCGAUUCAGUGACAAGGCAUUAUCGGGGAGCUUCCACUAAACCUUUAUCACAAUAGUAGAGAAGUCGACUUUUUAGGAACCCACUCUUAUUAGAUUUUAUAGUUUAUAUAUCUAUAUAAAUAUAUAAAUCCCCAGUUCGGAUCCAGGUAGCAGCAAGGGGCGGAGGCAGAGGUGCGUGCGCGGGGUGCGGGCGGUGCGUGCGCGGGGUGCGGGCGUGAGCCAACAUGGGCACUUGCGUGUAGGGUGGGACCAACAUCGGGUCAGGCCCAGCCGGAGGAGAGGGAAGAGGGAGUUUUUUUUUCCCUCUCUCUUCAAUUUUUUUCUCUUUUCAUAUAUGGAGAUGGAGAUUUAUAAUUUUUUUAAAGUCCAAUCUAAUUUUUUAUUUGUUAUUAUAAAAAUUUAAACUAUAUAAAUAAUUUUUAAAUAGUUUAGACUAUUUGUAUUAAAUAUAAAUUUUAAUUUUAUAAUAUUGAGCAUUUAGAUAUAGAUUGUACAUUAAAAAAUAAAGAAAAGAUUGAUGGAGUUUAAGUUAAUUUUAUAUUUUACAAAAUUUAGUUGCGAAAAUCGCAUAAAAUAUAAGCGAUGAAUUCAAGUUUAAAACUAUAAGACGAGUGAUACUUUAAUUCUCGAACUUUAAUGUGUUAUAAUUUUAACUAUGAGGCAUGUGACACUUUUAUACUCAAACUUUAAUUAGUUGCAAUUUCUAACUUGAAAUAUUAUGUAUAUUAUAUUUUGAGUUUAGCUAGAAUGCUAUCGAUAACAAACCGGCACUUUUGCCAUCUAUUUGUUUUCGAUGAUGGAGCCUCCAAAUCGACGAUCGGCACCGUUGAACAUGAUCUAUACCACUUGAAGUAUUUAGAAAUCAAAUUUCAAAUCUUUUCGACAUCAUUUGCCUAAUGAUCAAAGGGUUUCAAAAUUUGUAAUUUUAAUGGUCGAUAUGAGCCGUUUUCUCGUUUAACGGCAUAAAGAUAUCCAAAUCAAUUGAAUUUUUGUUAGAAAAUUCUUUAAACUAUUUAAAACAAGAUCUAUACUCUUGAUCUUGAUUACAAGACUCCUAUCAUCAUUUUUUUAAGAAUAUUCAUUUUCAGCCGUUCAUUUUUGUGUCAACUCGAUGGAUAAGAGAGCAAUAUCGAAAAUGUAUGAAAUUUAAUUUCUAAAUACUUCAAAUGGUAUAGAUAAUGUUCAACAGUGCCGAUCAUCAAUUUCGAGGCUCCAUCAUCGAAAACAAAUGGGUGGCAAAAGUGCCGGUUUGCUAUUGAUAGUAUUCUAGCUCAACUCUUAUAUUUUAGUCAUCAAUGUUUAUUGCUGCUACAAAUAUAAUUUAUUAUUCGUAUAGUUUUUGCCUUUAAUUUUUUAAUCCUUCUUAUAAUUUAUUUUUAUAUUGUUAUUGUAGCAAUAGUUGCUUAUUCUUUAGUUACUUUUUUAUAUAUAAUUUCUGGAUUUUUUUUUUUACUAUUUAUUUAUUUAUUUUUACGGAAUCAUUGUGUCACAACGCGCGGAUCCUUUAAUAUCAUUAUAAUCUUAAAAGUCAAUGUUAUAAGAAAAUUGUUGUUUGUAUAUCCAAAAGGCGGUAUAAAACUUGCACCCACUCAUUUGACCGUUUAGAAAAUUUUUAAAAAUUUUGGAGAAAAAGAAAUUGAUAGUUUUACCCUUUUUUUUUGUGUAGGGGUAGUAGUAACUCACCUUAUAAUAAACCGUAAAAACAUAACUACAUAAGUACUACCCUUAAUUUCAAUUUUAGGAGUGAAAUGCUACUUAUAUACCAAAAAAAUAAGCGUAAAUCUUACACUUUCUAGUCUAAACGGUUAGAUGCCCUUUUUGAAUUUUUAAUAUAAAAAAUAAAGAUUAAUAAGACUAGUAAGCAAAAGCAGUGUUUUGAUGGAAAGAUUGAAGAUUUACACCUGAUUUUUUAGGUGUACAGAUAGUAUGGCCACUGUACAGUCUUUUAUUAUUUGAGAAAAUGCUUACCUGUAUAUUGAAAAGAGAUGCAUAAAUUUUACAACCCGCUGAUUCAAGAGUCCAUAUAAUUUUUUAAAAAAGUUUUAAAUAUUAAAAAUUUAGAGUUGUAGUAUGACUAUGUAUCAUCUUUAGAUGAGUGUAGUGUAAAAUUUACAUCACCUUUAGAGGUACAGAUAUUAUUGCUCUUGUUGUUUAAUUUUAGACUUUUAUAAAAAAAAUAAAUAAAUGCUAUUUCUACAUCCAAAAAUGGGGUGUACUUCUCACACCACCUCUUCACAGGGUUUAAAACUUAUUUUUUUAGUUUUAAACUUUUUAAAAAAUUGAUAAAAUUAGUACAAACUUAUUUAUAUAAAUAAAUUUUCAAAAUUUGAGAAAAUUGCUUUUAAUUUACUUAAUUAAAAGCGGGAGGUCUUGAGUUCGACUCUCAACGAAAUCUUUUUUUUUUACCUUACUAUUUUUUAAAAAAAUCUAUUCUAAUUUUUUUUUAAUUUACUUAAUUAAAUUAUAUGUUUUUUAAAAAAUUCUAUUCUAAAAUUUUAAAUUCAAAUCACCAAAGAAAAUUAAUGGAUUAUUAAUACAUUUCAUGAACACUAGUGUAGGGACCUGCGCGAUGCGGCGGAUAGAAAUUGUUAUAAUAAAAAUUUAUGAAUUAUAUAAAUAAAUAAAAAUAAAAUUGUUAUAGUUAAAAAUUGCGAAGUAAAUAAACCAAAAAAACGUAAAGAUAAAAUAGCACGAUAUAACCACAUUUAAUUAGUUAAAAAUGUAAAACAUAUAUUAAAACACAGCAAGAUAAAAUCACAUUUGAUAGGUUAAAAACGUAAACAUAUAUUAAAAUUUUUUAGAAUAGUAAUACAAUUCAAUAGAGAACAAAAAAAGAGAAGGAAAAGAAAGAACUAUAGAAGACGAAAAUUUAGUGCAUAGAUAUUUUAAGAAUAUAUUUGAAAUUUUGUGAAAGAAGAAUAAUAAGUAACGAAAAGCAAAUUGAAUUGUCUCAAAUUCAGAUUUAACUAAUCAUCAUCCAUCCUCUUUUCUUUCCUGAUCCAAAUCAGUUUUUUUUUUUUUUAAGCCAAUAAUUAUGACACUUGCCGAUGGAUAUAAAGAUUGUUAUACCAUCACAUAAUUAGUAUGAAAUAUAAAGAAAAUUAACGAAAAGUAUGAAAGAAUACACAAUAGUCAUGUAAACAAAUUUGGAAGUAAUAAUAGCUAGUUUCAACUAUUUGUUUUUAUUUCAGUAAGGCCCACCGCUUAAUGUAAAAAACUCAACUUUACUUGAUGCACGAGCAAUUCAAAUUUCAAGAGAAUGGCGCACUAAAUUGCUUAUCAUCGAUUCAAUGACUUUGACAUUGUUGUCUUAACUUGCAAGAAAGAUUGUUGUCUUAAAUUUCUGCAGAAUUUUUAGUAUGACGAAGCUUCACUUUUUUAAUGACUUUCUGGAUUAGCCUGAUGGCAUCCUUAAUGACUUUCUUGUUGGCUGUUCCCUCAGUUAAGUAGGUUGACUUGUUUUUCUUAAAUGUGAAUUGUAUAAGAAAGAAAUCUUCUUUACAGGUUAAUCUCUUAUAAUGCUUUGUAGUUUCAACUGUUACGAAUAAAAUUGGCUCUUUGGAUAGGAUAAUUCUCGAAUUAGUUCUAAUUAAUUUUUAGCCCUUUCAUGCCUAUGUUCUUGUUUAUAUCUGAAUUUGUACCUACGCCUGAAAUAAGCAGUUCUUAUUUAUACCUGAACCUAACACAGCCUUUGAGCCCCUAGUUGCUGAUGGCUUCCGAUUUUGGAUAAAUAGCAUCUUCAGGCUCAUCUUCUCAUAUAUGUUUAAUAAACCAUCCAAAUUGCAUUACACAUCCUUCAAAAAGCUUUGCUAUCAUUAGCCCUUUUUAAUACAACGAAUCUUCGCUAAAAGCAUUGCUAUGACUUUCUUGUUAAUUUUUUGGUUACUGUUUCCUCAGUUUAAGAAUGUUGAUUUGUUUUCUCAAAUGUGAAUUGGAGGUGAGGUGAAAUCUUGUUUACAUGCCAAUUGUCUUAUUGUGCUCUUCCUAACUCGAUUCAGUGUUUACAAAUACAAUGCUCAGAACAAAGCUUGUUUGCAUUGAAAUAUUUUUCAGUUCAUUGUUAAUUGGUUGUUGGGUCUUUGAUGGAUGACAUUGUUCUUAGGGAUCCUUAGCUACCAUGUCAUACAAUUUUGGAAAAAUUUUCAACUUCAGGCUCAUCUUCUUGUAUUUUGUUUGUGCACUACCAAAUUGCAUUAGACAUUCUUAAAAAAAAAAAAUAACAAAACCAGUUCUUGUUUAUUUGCUUUUAGCUCAAAUCAUUUGAAUACAUAUAAUUUUUUUGAAUUUGCAAGCACAUUAAGUAAUAUCUUUAGCCUAAUGAUAAGGUCUUCUGAAGCCAAUCUUAAAAUCAGAGUUCCGAACCUUCGCAUAUUCUUAAAUCCGAGCUCGAGCCCCGGUUUUAGAUUUAUAGGAAGUGGUUUCUAGUAUCACUCAGUAGUAUUGCAACCCUUCUUUCUAGUUAAAAUUCAGAUGACUCGAUUGAAAGUAUUAGAUGAAAUAGAGAGAGCUUGUCUGCAAAGGUAUCAAAAAUCAAAAUUUCAAAUUUUUUUUUAAAAAAAAAAACUAUGAACUGAAAUACAAACUUUAUACCUCAUCUAGUUUAAUAUCACAUCUAGAUGUUGGAUUAUAAUCAUCUUGAUCAAAAACAAGCAGAGAGGCAUCAAAAAGACGCAAGAUUGCCCCUCUUUUUUUAAAAAAAAAAAGAAAAGAAGCUAUUACUCUUUUUAGAGAAAUUGAUGCAACAUAUCUCCAAACCAAUGUAUGAAGUUUGCUAAAAUUUCAUAUUCAAAUAGGCAAUCAAAUUGGUGUUCCUUGUUUCAAAAUUAAUUUAAGAAUUGCAAUUUAGCAUAAAUAUACAAACACAAGCAAGGUAGUAGCAUAUAUGAAAAUGCAUCAAUUCAUCUCACUUCCAAGUUACAUAACACUCUUUUGUCCACCAUAUUUAAGAUCACACGAACGCCAAGACAUACAAAUAAUAAAGUUCUUCAUUGCAGAAUUGUCCAGACACUAACACUAUACUGUAAUUCUAAAUGCAUAUCUACGUAGUAUAACUUACAAAGAAAUGCUAUUCUGUUCUAUAUCACGUCUGACAGAUACAUCCUUGAUAUAAGUUGGGUCAUAAGUUAGUUCACACUGUUGCAACGAGGGUUUGGCGAACCAAAAUCCUAGCCCUUACCUUCUUGGCGAAGCGCACCCAUUUGAUCGGUGCAAGAAGCUUAGCCCACGUAGGCGGCGAUGACAGUGGGGCGACGCUACGACUAGUUUCACCACCCGAUGAGGUAGAAAAAUUACUUAUGAAAGUCUGGAUCGGCCCUUCGCAGGAGAUCGAGUCCAACCAGGAGAUCGAGUCCAACCUGCUCAUUCGCAAGAUAGUGGAGUGAGCUGUCGGAGACUCCACGAAUGGGGACGACUCAACUUGAUUCUGAGGACACACUGGAGUAGCUUGUUCAUCUGUGGAGUUAAAACUUCGAUCAAGAAUUAUGUAAUAACAAGAGAAAAGACCAAAGAAAAGAUAUUAAUUCAUAUUUGAUAAUUGGGUUAUAAUCGAACAUGAAGUACCAUAGUUCGCCAGCAGGCACUCCAUGCUCUGAGGGUAAGAAGUAUCUUCAGGAGGUGCAGUUUCCAUUGGAAAGGUGAAAUCCAGAGAAUUAUCUCUUUCAAACGAGACAUCCUGAUCAAAAAAGAUUAGAAAGAAGGAAAUUAUAUGGGUCAGGCAAAUGCAGUAACUUUGUAAUAAUAACUUUUUCAGAAGCUUGGAUUUACAAAUUCGUAAUAGGUGAAGUUUGUAUCACCAUAUAGAUGUUAAACAUGUAUUUCAAUAUAAGCCUCUUUUUGUAUGUAACUAAAGAUAUUAGCAUAUUAUGCUUGCGUCAUAGAAAAGGUCUUAUUCCGAAUAAGAAAUAACCUCAGAGCAAAAAAUCACAGUUCUUCUCGUAGCAGACUAUUUAUACACUCCCCGAAACUGAGAACAUAAUUAGCAGCUUUUAUUACCACAUAAUGCUAUUAUCACCCUCAUGUCAAAUUAUCAAACUCUUGCCGAGGGUUUAAAUGAACUUGAUGAUCUGAAGAACGAUAAUGUUUAAACGGUAGCCCUUCCUGUCGGAAGAGACAAAAACUGAUCUAUAUGAAUUACCUUUACAGUAGUUCGGGAUUGCUCUAGUAAUUCAUUGCCCAGUGAAUAAGGCUGUGUCCUGAAACAUGCUUCUGAAGCUGCCAAAAUUUUCAGAUUAGUAAAGCAUCACAAUAUAUAAUAAGGUAAUUAUUAAUUUAGUACAAAAAAUUGCUAAAUCCAAUUACCAUAAUGUGUGACUGGUAGACCAGGAAACUCUGAAUUUGGAGCAGCAGUUGAGAUAUUGUUAAAUGAUGAGUUUCCCAUCUCCAAUGGGAGAUUCUGCAGCAUGAGAAAGAGAUUAUUACUUUUCAGUAUGUAUCAAAGAGUCUAUGUAAUAAUAAGAAGAUAAAAUAAGGAAAUAGGUUAAGAGGUAAAAGCAGACUCAACCUUGUAGAACUAGAUGAAUUCUGAAAUGGGUGCUUGCGCUCAAAAUAUUUUUGAUUCAAAGUACCAGCUUUUUGAUAGUUUUGAUUUCAAAAUAUCCCAUCGAUUUAUGUGAAAACUUAACAAUUUCCAUCAAAAAAGCAAUAAAAUAUUAUGGUAGGUUAUGGUAUACUCCAUCCAAAAAGUUAAGAAUACCAUUAAGCUUUAAAAAAGAGUUUGUUAAUAUAUUGUAAGCUUCAGAAGCAAAAAAUAACUGAAACCUAAAUAACUGCUCUCCUCAUCUUCCUCGUUUUUCUUAUCUUCUCUUCAGUCUCAAAUAACAUAUACCUGAGAUUUCCUUUUUUUCUUCAAUUAUCCUCAUUAUCCACUUUCUUUAUAUUAAUGCAUAUAAAUAUAGCUUUUAGGGGCAUGUAUACAAAAUACCAACUUUACAAAGUUAUCUGAGUGAAUGCCCCAUAGUUGCAGAGAUACAUAUGAAAAAAGAACCCAUUUUGUUCGGUCAUACUUGAAAAAACUGAAACCCGAUAACUCCCUACAUCAUGUUGCUCAUUGUUAAAAGUCAAAAUGAACUUUGGGAAUGUUUUCAAACAGAAAUCAACUUACGCUUGUUGCAUAUGAAGGUUGAUGAUUAUCCACAUCAAUAUAAGGGUGUUCCAUGAGUAAAUUAAGUGAAUCCACACUUGCUACAGAGGUUUCUUGCAGAAGACCAACUUGAGAAUCUACUUGAUCUGCUAAAAUCGCUGUGUUAAUGAUAGAACAUAGCAUGGGAUAGUUAAAAGAAAGCCACUUUUACAUAAAUAUAUAUCCCUGCAAAAUCGCAAUUUUUAUAUAUGCCCUACAAAGACAUAACGUCUUGCAUAUACACUGUUUCACUUACAAAAACAUACAUUUUCUAAAGAAAAAUCAAUUUCCACAUAAAUUAAAUGAUACCCUAACGUAAAAUAAGGCUACUAUUGUAAGAGAUUGCACUAAGGUAAAAUAAGGCUACUGUGAAAAUUCAAAUUUUAUAGCAUUAUAUAUGUAAAAUUUAAAUGGAUUAAUAGCAUAAUGUAUUUAAGGGGGUAAAAAAAAAGAAAAUCUAACAUUAAGUCAUCAAACAGUGAAGAGGAAUUUACCAGAAUUUCUUAUCUGGGAGUUGGAAAUAUGAGGUGGCAGUGUACUUGAUCCGGGGAAGGAAGUAACAUCACUCAAAAGGAGAGGCAUAGGAUGGCCGUUAAUCAUUCUAUGAUCAAGUUGCAUGCCAUUUAUGUUUCUAUAUGCUAGAUUUUUCCAUGAUUCCACUGAAUCCUGCAACCAAAUGAACAGAAUUAUUUGUCCGCAUACCAGCUUCUAUGACAGAAUAUAAUAAGCUAUUCUUGAUGAAAAAACGGGGGACUCUUUAAUUUCAAGAAUUUGGUUGUUAGUUGUUAGCAUCACCAGAUUCAGCACUCCUUGAACAUGUAACCAAAUAUAAACAGAACAUACACAUGCUUCACAACUAAAAUCUGAAAACAUCAAUUUCUAGAAAGUGUGAAUGAAUGCAUGCAUCGUCUUAAUGAUGAGAAAGCCCUUUCUGUCCAGCUCUUUGACCGAGCAUUCUAUCAAAAUGCUAGUAAAUCAUAAACAGGUUAUACCCCUUUUUCUCAAAAAGUUAAAAAAAGAAAAAAGAUAAGUAAAUCAUAAGCUGGGUUUUAAGGAAAAAAAUAAACACCUGUCGGGAUGCGUCGAGAUUAUCAAGGGUGGUAUAACAGUCACCAAAUUUCACACCAACAAGAUGAUAAACAGAGUUGAAGAAAAGUACAAUAGGAACAACAGUGUUCUUCUCUCUCAUGGAAUAAGAAAAGAGCCCGUCUCCUGGAUCACAUUCCUUUGCAUGUUUAACAAUCUCUUUCCAGUAAGUUUCUGCCAUCCUGAGAUUCUGUAAAUAGGGCGACAAAAAGUACGUUUCCAUUAGUAUUUCUCUUUCCUCAGUAUGGAAGUUUCUAUUAGUUGAUAGUAGGCAAAAACAUACAGACAUAUCUCUAGUCCCACUAAGAGGUCAUUUGUAAACAGGACCUUUAACUUAUCUUUUUCUCAGAUUUGAACCCCUCAACUAGCAUGUUUUCAAAGAUUCGUAUAGAACAUAAAGAUCCUUUUAAUUUUUCACGGGAUAUUUGUAAUUAAUGAAUAUUGCAUUACUUGAUGGAAUAUUCCAUAACUAUUUUGGCAGAAGCAUUAAGAUCUUACAGUAUCUGACCAGAUGGGAUUUUCUAAAAUUAAUUGAAACGUUAGUUGUGGGGCUCAAAUCCAAAAAGCUACAGUUCAGUGUCCUGUUUUCGAAUGACCUAUACUUGAGAUGGUGUUGGUAAAUUCUUGCCUUGCUAGCAAGACAAAAUAGUACACGCCAAACUCAUAACUUACCUUUCGCAGAUUGCCUUUCUCCAUAUUGUAAUAUCUCAAGAGGUCCUGCACAGUUUUGAUAUCAUGUCCUUGAAGCUUCUCGUGAAAUUUGCCACCAUUCCUAAUGUGUUUAAGCCGCCAAACUUCGUCAUUCAAUGAAGGAGUAGGAUGCUUUUGAGACGCUGAACAUAUUGAAACCAAUAGGCUCAGGUACCAAGAGUAAAGAAGAAAUUACAGCAGUAUGUGCUUCUGUUAAACAACAAUGCAGUACCAAAAAUCAAAAUAUGUAGAGUCUCUUUUGCUCAAUGGAUUCUACAAUUGAACCAACCAUACCUAGCGCAGUUGGCUAAAGACUUGAUGGUUGGUACCCCGGAUCCCAAGUUGAAGCCUAAUUGCUUCACAUUUCUAGCUGAGUUCAUUUCAAA